rnacentral:lncRNA from 1 species
UUUUAGUUCCGAUCGAGCAUCCGUACGAAUUCUCAACCAUGUGGUUUAGUCAUAUUAUGAUACUGUAUGUUUAAUUGAUAUCGUAUGAUCCGUGCAAGGUGCCUCCCUAGCGAAUGUUCUCGGUACCUUCAAACCAGUCGCCAACUCUACGUGUAAUCAUUAUUGCGCUUGAAAAUGGAAUACGACGAUGAACAUUCAUGUUCAAAUUUGAAUAUGGAUACGAAACUGAUAGUCCCUGCUGAUACAUAUGACAGCGAUACGACGAUAAAUAAUUUUACGGACCCAAUAAAAUGACGAAUGAUGGACAUAAUCGAAAACCAGCACGGGACCGAACUCACUCGCUUGGGCGAGUUCUGCGGAAUCAGGCGCAAAGUCAAGAUUGGGAACCUAACGCACCCGUGAGCAGAGAUUCACGAAACAAUCAUCUCUGCUCCUACCCCCGACGUUUCUUCAUGAGCGGAGGAGCGACACAGGUGCGGCGUGUAAAAAUACACUCUCACCUGACUGUUCCGAUGAAACAAACCUUUUUUGUUCAACGUUAGUUCCCCUUCCCCAAAAAUUUUAAGUUGACCGGAAUUGAACUCGAUCCAGGUUCCCGACUAUAGUCGAAAACAUGCCAUUGAAGGCGAGCGUCAUGUAUCUCCAAAACAUGAUAUUGACGUGCCGGGAGAACACCGUGUUAUGGAAGGCGAUUUCCCUGAGACUUUGUUGCCUGCAAGUCGUCUGCAAGACAGAUACUUUCACGGAGCCUCCAACUUCGACGUAAGCCACGAAGCACCUUGGAGAGGUAAACACAAACCUCCGAUAAAUUUUGGCCAUCCGCGUGGCUAUUCUGAAGAUCCUAUCAGGGAGCAUUGCCCGAGUAAUUUUGGGAAAGGCGGUGUCCGUCACUAUCGCAGGCGACUGGCAGGCCC